CAAAGACCCCCGAGUGGGUUGAAACGACGGAUGCAGGGCACUGGGCCCAGGAGAGAGGGGUCAGCCUUUGCUUCCAUAAUAUUGAAAUCACCCACUUGCGUGUCCGUCUUUUCCUCGGGCUGUGACCUCCUUCAAUGGUCUGUGUCCCACUCGUCUUUCAGUCCCUCCUCCCCAUCGUCUAGCAGGGCGCCUGGCUCCCUAUAAGUUUAGCUCAAUAAAUGUUAAGUUGAACGGCGGCAGAUCUUUGCAUCGGUCCAAUCCCGAGCUUCUGUACAGAAAGCAAGAUAAACACGUUCCACUCAGGGGGCCGGCGUUCUCUUGUUCCUUUGGAGGGGCUAUGGGGGAUUCAGGGGGUACUUUAAUACUCCCGAGUGGAGGGAGCUGUCAGACAGCCGGCCCUCUGCAAGGGACAGUCGAAGGAGUUGGGAAGGUGCGUGCGCCCCUCUCACCAGGCCCGCGGAUGCUGGGUGGUACCCAAGGAGGCGCUCGGAUGGGUCACUACGGAUGGAGCUAAGCCAGGGAUCUUCUGCACGAACUUCUCCCAUCUCAGAGCAUCCUCGUCCUUCUAUGUCACUGAACUGGCCGUCUCCAUCUGGCAACUGGGAAGAGUCUGCCUCCAGGGCGCCGGGGGUGGGGAGGAGGGCAGAGCGCAGGAUUGCGGAAUGCGCGGCGCACACGCGAGCGGGCAUCACCGCGGGCUUCGCGCCGGCUCGCUUAGGCUCCGGCGCGGGCGCAGCCAGGACCCCGGCCCGGUGCGGAGCGCGCCCUCCCCCACGCCAUCUGGGCCUCCGGCGGCCCAGGCCCGUCCCGCCUCCCCGAGGCCUUCCGCGGCUCGGUGUCCCACGCUGCCCCGGCGGCGGGCGGACGGCAGCGCGGGCCGCCGGUGAGCCGGGGCGAGCGGGGGCCGAGGACGCACGCGGCCGGACGGGCGGCGCGCGCUCCCCUCCCCCGCCCCGGCCGGCAGCGCGAGCCGCCGUUGACGUCACGGGCGCCCGCCUGCCCUGCGCUCCACUGGGCAGAGCGUGCGCGGCCGGCCGCCGAGCACAUGGGCCCGCGGGCCGGCGGGCUCGGGGCGGCCUGGCCCGGGAGGAGCGGCGAGGGGGCGCCAGCAAGGAUGGGCCGCGGCACCCCCGGCCCCCGGCGAGUGGAUUUCCACGCGGGAAGGAGGUUGGCGGCGCCGGUGACCUUCGGAGACACGGCUGGAUCCACCUUCCAGGAUUUGUACCCAAAAGAAAACAGAAGAGGAGGGUUUGAGUCACCGUUCUGCUGUAUGAUCAUGGGAGGAGGGAUCACCACGUCUCCUUUCCGACUGAGGCUGCCCAGAGCCCUGGGUGCUGGUAUGGAUUCACUCACCCUCAGUCCUGUGACCUCGGACACAGCAGCUCGGGCUCCUCUCCCUUUUUUCCUGCGCUGAAUGCCGUGUGUCCCAGCGCUUCGGGGGUUCUCUGAGUCUCCUGCCAUCUGCCAGGAGCAGCAGCAGGCAGCACAGCCUCUGCACGUGAAGAAGCAUCUAUAGCCAGGAUUGAAUCCAAAUGCCUUGGCCCGACACAUCCGCCCUUCAUUCUGAACUCAGCCUGCUCUCUUGCCUGCCCCCCCCAACCAGCCCUUCAUGCUGCAGCCACACAGAAGUUGAGGGGUCCUCCGUAUCUGUGUUCCUGCAGACAGACUGCACCGGGAAGCAGAAGUCAUCGUAACAUGAAAAUAUGCACUAAUAAACUCAUUGCUAACGUCCAGCCCACCCACAUCCGACGAUAAUCAGUCUUUUACUGAUUGCCAGACGUUGUAAACAUCUGUCAGUCCAGGGCACGAAUAGCAGAAACUCUUAACUGACCUCCAUUUGGCUCCUUUGCUGGAUUAAUUGAUGCUGCCCAUUCCGUUUGUACAGCAAACUGAGUGAGGCCCCAGGCUUACUGAUGGCUUGGGGCUGGUGGGCUGCUCACAAGCCCAGUUUUUCCAGAUUCAAAGUUUUGUUCUGCCCUAACUGUGUGGCCUUGGGCGAGUUAAAUAACCGCUCUGUGCCUGUAUGUUUCAUCUGCAAAAUCAUACUGAAACUAGUACCUACCUUCCAGGGUGAUGCUGAGCAUUAGAUGAAUUAAUACAUGUAAAAGCUUACAACGGUGUUUCCUGGCGCGUGGUAGACGCCCGUUGAAUGUUAGCUUUGAUAUUCAUGGGCCAGGAAGCCUUCUACCACCUGUAGAUUUGUGCGCUGGCCAAAAGUUGUGUUGGUAGUUACAUGUCACGUAAACUGAUGAGAAUUGAGUUUAAAAAGAAAGUUGUUGCCUGAAAAUUAAGUUUAGUACUUUGGAAAGAAUGGAUGACAUUGAUUCGCUAAAAAGUUGUCAUCGAAUCGUUUAGAGGCAAAACAGCUGUAAAAAAUAGGCCGAAAAAUUGUAAAACUGUAAGAGUCUGUAUUCCAUAUGCUUUGCAGAUGACUUAAGUUUUGCACUCCUUGAAAGAAAUGGAAAUCAGAAGUCAUAGAUGUUGAAUCGUGACUGUGUAUUUUGCAAGAAAGACAGUUGGCGCGUCAGGUCAGUGGGCCAAAGAAAGACCCUGCCUUUCGAUUGGCUAAUAAAUGCGCAGCUGUACGGAAAUAGUUCACUGUCUGUCCUGGUUACGGUGGCUCACUUUUCCAAUGACAUACCAGUGUGGGAGUUGGGUCACAGGGCUUGUUCUCUCCAAGCAGAUCAACUGCCAGCAAUUGCUCGUCUUGCCCAGACUGCGGGGUUUCCUGAUGCAGGUGAAGGUGCUGUGGACGUGCGGCAUGAAUUACGUGCACGUACCCAGCACUUCCUGUGUGCAGGCACCGCUGGAGCGCCUGAUACACUAGUGCUGACACAGGAAAGAGACACAGGCAUGGCCCUGAGAACUGCUGUCGGGGAGUCCUGGGGGCCUUCACCAUGGAGAGGAGGAGGAAAAGAUGAGGACCCUCUGGGCAAAUCAAAAGAAAGUGACUUAAAAAUAAAAACAGUUGCGAGGCGUUGGGAACAUUAACAAAGUCCUGAAAGAUGUUUUACAAAAUGAUGCUUUUAAUGAUGAAGAGUGAGAAGGUUUCUAUUGUGUGAGAAAACAUGUGCGAGGAAAACCUCGGGGUCAGUCAUUGUUUGCACAAGUGACACUUAGAGCCCAGUUGAAAAUGACAACUUAAAAUUUAAGUAUGAGACAAACCUUGUUUUAUAUUUAUAAUUAUUUAUCAUUUAUAUAUGACAUUUAUAAUAUAUAAAUGAUAAAUUAUUAACUUAUGAAUAUAAAAUAUCUUACAAUUCUUUGUUUCUUUUUUCAAGAUAAAGUCUCCCAGAGGAGGGCUAGGACAAGUGACAGGAGUGGCCCCAGAUCACAGCCAAAUGAAGGGGAGCACUGGGAAUCGGGAGCAGGCCACGGAAGAGGACUGGGACAAGUGACCGGAACUGCCCAGGGUCACAGCCCAGCGAAGGUACAGCUAGGAAUCGGAAGCAGGUGGUGGCGGUGGCCUUCUUAAUCACAAUGAUUAUAGCCACAUGAUGCUGGACGCCUUAGAGCACCAUCGUAUUUACUCACAAGCGACUCGUUGAAGCAGGUGGGCCUUUCCACUGUCUUUUACAGUGGGGGAUACUAAGGCGAGCAGGUUGAAGUCGGGCUGUGAGGCCCGAGAAUUCGUCCCAAGGUUCUCCCUCCACGUCCACCGUUCAGAUCAGGGCCCAGCACGGCUGCACUUGGACAGGCGUGAACGGGGUAGAUUGGGGAGACCCCAGAAGGCGUUCCUCCUCCGCCUGUGCGCCUCUCGCCGCCCUGGUUUGGAGCCCCCCCUUUCUGUUGGUGGGGGUCUCUGAAGGAAGACAUCCCCCCCGACCCCCAGCAUCUCAUGUUCUCAGGAGCCACGCAGAGCACAGUUGGAGCCAGAGACCUGCUGCUUUUGGUGCAAAGGCUAUUUGGUUUUAUUCCACAGGCAGUGUGGGGAAGAGAAGACUAAACAGUGGAGGCCCCUCCUAACCUGGGGGCACAGCGAGGAGGAGGAGGCGGAGGAGGAAGGCAGUGUGCUGGAAACAAAGGGAGGGAAGGUGAGGGCAGAGUCUUACUGAUGGCGGCGCCCCCCGCGCGCUUCCCUGGGUUGUAUAAUCAGCUGUCACUUCGGCCUUUCCCCACAUCAGGCUUCACAAGUACAGAGUGAACAUUAAACAAACAGUGACUGCUCUAUAAAUAUUUAACUCCCACUGUUUAGGAAUUGCU
rnacentral:lncRNA from 1 species